AGGUGCCAGUAAGCUCCCAGCUUGGAAGGGCUGUUAGAGCAUUAUGUUUUUACCUGUCAGCUGAGCAGGGUUGGGGUAGAAGUGUAUUCCACGAUGCCAAUUUCACAGUCACACUGCAGGUAGAGCUACACUUUAAGCACAGCUGUUGAUACGAGCCAGCCAUCUGAGCCUGUUCAGCUCACCAGGAUUCAGUCAUUCUUGCCUGGCUUAGGGUCAGACAGCAGCAGCACGAGGAAGAGGAGCAGCAGCAGCAACACUGGUCUGAGCUACAAGGGCCACUUCUCCCUGCAUCCUGAUCUAGGAAAUCUCCCCUCCCUAGGGACCUAAGGGAUGGGGAAAGAGAAAGCUGCCUUUCCCGGCUAAAGAAACUCCGUCUAGCUGAGCAGUUCCCGUGGAAGGAUGGCACACUCUGAGGGGAGGCAGGAGACUUUCAGUCCCCUCAGAAGACAAGGCAAUGAAUAGCUUUCCCGCCCUGGUGUUGCUAGAAGGACUGUCAAAAUCAGAUGGGCCAUCCAGGAGCAUGCAAUGCAAAGGGUUGGUUAAUGGCCCUAUCACACCUGGGAAAUGCUACCUGCUCGGAAGCUCAUCCUGUGGACUUGGGAGCUGAAUGAAGGAAAUAAAGUCACAGGAAAAUUUUC